CCCUUAGAUGUUCUGGGCCGCACGCGCGCUACACUGACGAAGUCAGCGAGCAUGUCCUACGCCGACAGGUGCGGGGAAUCUUGUCAAACUUCGUCGUGAUGGGGAUUGAUUAUUGAAAUUCUUGAUCAUCAACGAGGAAUUCCUAGUAAGCGCAAGACAGCAGCUUGCGUUGAUUACGUCCCUGCCCUUUGUACACACCGCCCGUCGCUACUACCGAUUGAAUGGUUUAGUGAGAUCUUCGGAUUGGCGCCACUGCGGCUCAGCAAUGGGCUCGGUGGAUGCCGAAAAGUUGAUCAAACUUGAUCAUUUAGAGGAAGUAAAAGUCGUAACA
rnacentral:rRNA from 1 species